rnacentral:rRNA from 1 species
AUGAACGCUGGCGGCGUGGAUGAGUCAUGCAAGUCAAACGGUCCGCCUCAUGUAGCAAUACAAGAGGCGAGAUAGUGGCAGACGAGGUAGUAACACGUAGGAAUCUACUCCCAAGUCGGGAAUAAUUCGUCGAAAGGCGAACUAAUACUCGAUAGUAUCUUCGGAUUAAAGCAGCAAUGCGCUAGGGAAAGAGCCUGCGUCGUAUCAGCUAGUUGGUAGGGUAAUGGCCUACCAAGGCGUAGACGCGUAGGGGACCUGAGAGGGUGACCCCCACCGAUGGAACUGAGAACGGUCCAUACACCUACGGGUGGCUGCAGACGAGAAUAUUCGACAAUGGACGAAAGUCUGAUCGAGCGACGCCGCGUGCUGGAUGAAGUCCUUCGGGACGUAAACAGCUUUUGUGAAGGAGAAAGUCCGCCAUUUCGGUGGCGGAUUGAUAGUACUUCAAGAAUAAGGGGUUGCUAAACUCGU